UAAAAGCAAGUAGCAUUUAAUCAACAAAGAAAUUACAAAUGCAAAUGAAAACAAAUCAGUCCAAUGAUUGCCAAUGUUAAGGAUGUCUUCCUGUUUGAACCACUGGCCUUAUGAGGUACUCCCUUGAAGUCUUCGAACUUAUUCAGACGAGAGGUUGACGUGCACCAACAGAUUUCCGUCUGGAAAGCAUAUGUACUUUUUG
rnacentral:lncRNA from 1 species